rnacentral:rRNA from 2 species
AGUGCGAAUGCUGACAUAAGUAACGAUAAAGCGGGUGAAAAGCCCGCUCGCCGGAAGACCAAGGGUUCCUGUCCAACGUUAAUCGGGGCAGGGUGAGUCGACCCCUAAGGCGAGGCCGAAAGGCGUAGUCGAUGGGAAACGGGUUAAUAUUCCCGUACUUGGUGUUACUGCGAAGGGGGGACGGAGAAGGCUAUGUUGGCCGGGCGACGGUUGUCCCGGUUUAAGCGUGUAGGUGUGUGUUCCAGGUAAAUCCGGUU